AGGCAGUGCAUUAUAUCAUACCAAUUUGAAAACCCAGAACAAAUAAAGGAAAACUUAUAUCUCUAGAAAGCAUAUCGAUGGAAUACUUCAAAUACAACAUAUUAAUUGCAGUAUGCAUUUAUGGAGAAUACAACUUCGAUUGUUCUUGAGAAAUCAGCAAGCAAAAUCCAGGGAAGACAUUAAAUAAGCCAUACGAUGAAUACUUAAUAACACAAAUCUGAGAGGUUUAGUGGAAUCAAAAAUGGCAAACAACACUGAGGUCGUAGGAGGAGUCACCACGCUAACUUAUUUAUCAGAGAUGCUUCGUUCAUUGUAAAUACUGCGACGCUGGAUAUUAACGACGCUGAGUUUGGUUAAACCUGCAACGCUGAAUACAAACGAUAUUGAAAUCAUAUCAACGUAACAACCUAGGAAAUUGACAGAUCAAAAUGGAAGAUUUGAGUAGCAAGAUGAGUAAUGUUACGAGUGCUACCCAGAACAUAUACGAUGAGAUGGUUUCAAAUGUUACACAAUCGGAUUUACCAUACCGCAACUACAAUGGAACCAAUUCUACCAGUAAUAUGAAUGACACAUCUCAACCGGUGGAUUACUCAUUACCAACGUACGCUCAAAUCCUUCUCACCACCAUUUACAUGACCAUAACAGUUCUGGCGAUCGGUGGCAAUGUCAUUGUAUGUUACAUUGUCCUCGCUUAUCAAAGGAUGCGUAGUGUUACCAAUUACUUUAUUGUUAACCUGGCCGUGAGUGAUAUACUUAUGGCCGCUCUCUGCAUACCGUUCUCGUUUAUAGCCAACACUCUCUUACACCACUGGCCGUUUGGAGCAUUUAUGUGUCCUGUGAUGGCUUUCUCGCAAACUGGAGCAGUGUUUCUUAGCGCAUUUACUCUCGUAGCUAUUAGCAUUGACCGUUACAUUGCCAUUAUCUUCCCCUUGCGACAACGUAUGUCCACAAGCCAGGCGUUUAUCAUCAUCAUUCUGAUCUGGAUCUCCGCUAUCGCCAUCUCUCUCCCCACGGCUAUUCUCUCCCGCACUCACCAGGCGCUGGACUAUAAUGGUGUUAUGAGAGACUAUUGUACAGAGAAGUGGGACCCUCCAUCCAGAGCGGUGAACUACACAAUGACUAUAUUAACUUUACAGUACUUUGUGCCCGUGUCAGUGUUAAUAUUUACAUACAUAUGGAUAGGUGUGGUCAUAUGGGCAAAGAAGCCACCCGGUGAGGCGGAGAAUAACAGAGAUCAGCGCAUGGCUGCUUCGAAAAGAAAGAUGAUUAAGAUGAUGAUUACUGUUGUGAUCAUUUACGCCAUCUGUUGGCUGCCCCUGCACACUAUAACGAUCUUGGGUGACCUUCAGCCGUCAAUCUGGCACAACCAGUACAUGAAUGUCGUUUGGAUUUGCAGCCAUUGGUUCGCCAUGAGCAACAGCUGUUACAACCCUUUGGUUUACUGUUGGAUGAACGCCAAAUAUAGGAAUGGCUUUAAACAUGUCUUUAGGAAAUGUUGUCCGUUUUUGGCUGGAUGCGAGUCCAAACCAACGGCAGAUACUCUCCAAUCAAUGAGACGGUCCAACACUCUCCUCACGACGGUGAAAUUUACUCAGAGUGACAAAAGAGGGGCCCAGAUGUAUUUAGCUAAGUAUCCAGACGACUCAUCGAGUGAAAGUACUGAGAAGACUGAUACGAUGCCUCUGCGCCCAGUGUCUAAUUUAUCUAAUGGGCUUAACGGACCCCACGGGAGCAGAACAUCGCUCCAUAAACAACAAAAUCGUCAAACUGAUUCAUAUUCAUGAAAAGUCUGAUCCUGUCUUAAACUCCCUAAUAUUAUCAGCCGAAUGUUAAGGAUGCAAUCAUAAAAUACAAGGGGGAUCGUGUAUUCAUUAAUAUAUCUGAGAGUCACAAUGUCCCUUAACACAGACAGAACAAGAUUUGAUUAAUUAAUACACCGCACGUAACAUUUCGGAGAUCAUGAUAUUGCCAUCGUCUUUUGUUGUUACUGUUAAACCACGUUGGUAUUUUCUAGGCAACUAAUCGCCAAUGUAUGCAUUCUGAUACUCAUAGCAUCUCUCUCUUGCAUCGCAGAAGGAUAGAGGAGAGGGCGUGGCUUAUACCACGAUGCAAUGUAUGAUAUGAUAUGAUUGUAGAUAUAGUCUUAAAAUAAAUAUCAGAAUAUAUAAAGUAAGGUCGAGACUCCGGAGAAGUAUGCUAUGUCAUGAUUCCAUUUUUAUCAAUGAGUCCAGUGAAAUAAACCAAUGAAAAUUAUAUCAAGAAAAAUCAUAUGAUAUUUUAUUUAUCCCAUGAA
rnacentral:misc_RNA from 1 species